rnacentral:rRNA from 1 species
CCCUUAGAUGUUCUGGGCCGCACACGCGCUACAAUGGCAAAGUCAACGAGCUUAUCCUAUGCUGACAAGCACAGGUAAUCUUUUCAGUCUUUGUCGUGAUGGGGAUAGACUCUUGUAAUUAUUGGUCUCCAACGAGGAAUUCCUAGUAAACGCAAGUCAUCAACUUGCAUUGAUUACGUCCCUGCCCUUUGUACACACCGCCCGUCGCACCUACCGAUUGAAUGGUCCGGUGAAGUCUUCGGACCGAUGCUGACUCGUUGGCAACGGAAAGUUGAGUAAACCUUACCAUUUAGAGGAAGGUGAAGUCGUAACA